rnacentral:rRNA from 2 species
AAAUUGAAGAGUUUGAUCAUGGCUCAGAUUGAACGCUGGCGGCAGGCCUAACACAUGCAAGUCGAACGGUAGCACAGAGAGCUUGCUCUCGGGUGACGAGUGGCGGACGGGUGAGUAAUGUCUGGGAAACUGCCCGAUGGAGGGGGAUAACUACUGGAAACGGUAGCUAAUACCGCAUAACGUCGCAAGACCAAAGUGGGGGACCUUCGGGCCUCACACCAUCGGAUGUGCCCAGAUGGGAUUAGCUAGUAGGUGGGGUAACGGCUCACCUAGGCGACGAUCCCUAGCUGGUCUGAGAGGAUGACCAGCCACACUGGAACUGAGACACGGUCCAGACUCCUACGGGAGGCAGCAGUGGGGAAUAUUGCACAAUGGGCGCAAGCCUGAUGCAGCCAUGCCGCGUGUAUGAAGAAGGCCUUCGGGUUGUAAAGUACUUUCAGCGAGGAGGAAGGCGUUGUGGUUAAUAACCACAGCGAUUGACGUUACUCGCAGAAGAAGCACCGGCUAACUCCGUGCCAGCAGCCGCGGUAAUACGGAGGGUGCAAGCGUUAAUCGGAAUUACUGGGCGUAAAGCGCACGCAGGCGGUUUGUUAAGUCAGAUGUGAAAUCCCCGGGCUCAACCUGGGAACUGCAUUUGAAACUGGCAAGCUUGAGUCUCGUAGAGGGGGGUAGAAUUCCAGGUGUAGCGGUGAAAUGCGUAGAGAUCUGGAGGAAUACCGGUGGCGAAGGCGGCCCCCUGGACAAAGACUGACGCUCAGGUGCGAAAGCGUGGGGAGCAAACAGGAUUAGAUACCCUGGUAGUCCACGCCGUAAACGAUGUCUACUUGGAGGUUGUGCCCUUGAGGCGUGGCUUCCGGAGCUAACGCGUUAAGUAGACCGCCUGGGGAGUACGGCCGCAAGGUUAAAACUCAAAUGAAUUGACGGGGGCCCGCACAAGCGGUGGAGCAUGUGGUUUAAUUCGAUGCAACGCGAAGAACCUUACCUGGUCUUGACAUCCACGGAAGUUUUCAGAGAUGAGAAUGUGCCUUCGGGAACCGUGAGACAGGUGCUGCAUGGCUGUCGUCAGCUCGUGUUGUGAAAUGUUGGGUUAAGUCCCGCAACGAGCGCAACCCUUAUCCUUUGUUGCCAGCGGUUAGGCCGGGAACUCAAAGGAGACUGCCAGUGAUAAACUGGAGGAAG